rnacentral:lncRNA from 1 species
AUGAAAACGGGAACCGUUGGCAUAAUAAAAGCGUUUUGGUUGGCGUGUUUCUUGGCUUUUGGGGACUCGAGAGGUAUGAUGGAUGAUCUCCGAUUGUCCUUUGGAAGGAAGGUCUAUUUCAUCCCAGUCGCACGAACCCCGCAAACGUGCGGCUGGACGAGGGAGGGAGGGAGGGAGGGAGGGAGGGAGGCCAACCACGGGAUUUCCGCACGACCAGCUGAUGGACACGACCGCCCCCGUGAGCCGGGCGGAGGGCAGCCGCCCGGGUCUCGCAGCUACGUGCCCGCGGAACCCUCGGGACUGCGAGAAGCCCGAGCGACCCGCAGUCACGCGGCGCUCGGCGCGGACAUCUGGUCGGCCCGCGCGCCACGGGACCCGGGGGCCGAUUCCGGGCCGGGCCGCUGGUCGACCCGGCAGGGCGGCGGCCCCGGGGGCCUCGCCGCUGCUCGUCCGCAGGCUCCAGGGAGCCCUCGGGGCUCCGAGAAGCCCGAGCGCCCCGUGGCCCCGCGACCCCGCGGCGCUCGGCGCGGACAUCUGGUCGACCCGCGUGCCACCAGACCCGGGGGCCGGGUCGCCGGUCGACCCGGCAGGGCGGCGGCCCCGGCGGCCUCGCCGCUGCUCGUCCGCCGGGUCGCCGGAGCCCUCGAGCCUCCGAGAAGGCCGAGCGCCCCGCGGUCCCGCGCCGCUCGGCGCUCGGCGCGGACAUCUGGUCGACCCGCGCGCCACGGGACCCGGGGGCCGAGUCCGGGCCGGGCCGCUGGUCGACCCGGCAGGGCGGCGGCCCCGGGGGCCUCGCGGCCGCUCGUCCGCAGCCUCCAGGGAGCCCCGAGGGGCUCCGAGAAGCCCGUGCGCCCCGCGGCCCGCGGCGCUCGGCGCGAACAUCUGGUCGACCCGCGCGCCCCGGGCCGGGGACCAAGUCCAGGCGGGACAGCUGGUCGACCCGGCAGGGCGGCGGCCCCCGGGGAGUCGCGCGCGCGAGUCCGCGGGGUCUCUGGAGCCGACGGAGGCCAGGGAGCCCACCCAGACCGCCGAGAGCCCCGCGGCCCCGCGGCGCUCGGCGCGGACAUCUGGUCGACCCGCGCGCCCCGGGCCGGGGACCAAGUCCAGGCGGGACAGCUGGUCGACCCGGCAGGGCGGCGGCCCCCGGGGAGUCGCGCGCGCGAGUCCGCGGGGUCUCUGGAGCCGACGGAGGCCAGGGAGCCCACCCAGACCGCCGAGAGCCCCGCGGCCCCGCGGCGCUCGGCGCGGACAUCUGGUCGGCCCGCGCGCCCCGGGCCGGGGACCAAGUCCGGGCGGGACAGCUGGUCGACCCGGCAGGGCGGCGGCCCCCGCGCGCGGGAAGCCCGCGAGCGAGGCGGGGGAGCGACGGAGAGACGAACGCCGCGGAGGAGGACCCCGGGCGCGCGAGGCCACGGCCGACGUCCGCCCGGCCUUCCGCCCCGCCCCCCGCCACGACCGACCCCCGAAGGAGGGCGGGCGGGCGGGCGGGCGGAGGGACGCGGGCGGGCGGACGGGGGCACGAGCCGGCGGCACGGGCGAGGGGCCCCGCCGGGGAGGAGGGGGGCGGAGCGGGACGCCGCCACGCGCACGGCGGACGCGUCGCGGCGACGCGGGGGAGGAGAGCGCGGAGGGGCGGCGGCGGGCGCGGCGGGGCCGGCGGUCGCCCCCGACCGCCGACCUCCCGCGCGCGUCCCACCGCCUCCCGACACCCGCCCCUCCGCCGCGAGCCGCCACGGCCCGUCGGGCGGCGGACGCGGCGCCCGCCCGCCCGCCCGGGGCUCGGGGCACGCAGCGCGGCGCGGCCGCGACCCGGGGGAGGGCGCGCGGCGGCGGACGACGCCGCGGCGUCCCGCGGGUCACCGCCGGGGCACGCGUCCCCGGGGCGCGGCCCCGCGCACGCGACUCGGCCUCGGCGCGAGCCACCCCGACGGGGCGAGGCCGCGUGCGGCGCGAGGGAGCCCCCGAAGGCACCGUGGCGGCCACGGGCACCUCGGCGCGAGCUCUCGCGUCUGCCUCUCCCUCGACUCGCGGGCGGCGGCCCCCACCCCGGGACCCCGCGGCGCCGCCGCCACCGACCCCCACGCGCCUCCGACGACCGGGCGCCGGGGCGCGUGGGAGGAGGGGCGGGCGCGCGGGGCGGAGGAGGGGCACCGCGUCUGCACUUAGGGGGACGGAGGGCCCGGGGCGGGCCCUGCGAGAGACCCCCAGCCGCGCACCCCGGGGCAGGCGACACCCACCCCGGGGGCGAUUGAUCGUCAAGCGACGCUCAGACAGGCGUAGCCCCGGGAG